rnacentral:rRNA from 1 species
GAGUUUGAUCAUGGCUCAGAAUGAACGCUGGCGGCACGCUUAACACAUGCAAGUCGAACGAGAUCUUCGGAUCUAGUGGCAGACGGGUGCGUAACGCGUGGGAACCUGCCCUUUAGUAAGGAAUAACUUUAGGAAACUGAAGCUAAUACCUUAUAAUCCCUUCGGGGGAAAGCUUUAUGCGCUAAUGGAUGGGCCCGCGUUAGAUUAGCUUGUUGGUGAGGUAAAGGCUCACCAAGGCUACGAUCUAUAGCUGGUCUGAGAGGAUGAUCAGCCACACUGGGACUGAGACACGGCCCAGACUCCUACGGGAGGCAGCAGUGGGGAAUAUUGGACAAUGGGGGCAACCCUGAUCCAGCGAUGCCGCGUGAGUGAUGAAGGCCCUAGGGUUGUAAAACUCUUUCGCCAGGGAAGAUAAUGACGGUACCUGGUAAAGAAGAUCCGGCUAACUCCGUGCCAGCAGCCGCGGUAAUACGGAGGGAUCUAGCGUUAUUCGGAAUAACUGGGCGUAAAGCGAGCGUAGGCGGAUUUGUAAGUUGGAGGUGAAAUCCCAGGGCUUAACCCUGGAACUGCCUUCAAAACUACAUUUCUUGAGUUUGGUAGAGGAGAGUGGAAUUCCUAGUGUAGAGGUGAAAUUCGUAGAUAUUAGGAGGAACACCAGUGGCGAAGGCGACUCUCUGGGCCAAUACUGACGCUGAGGUUCGAAAGCGUGGGUAGCGAACAGGAUUAGAUACCCUGGUAGUCCACGCAGUAAACGAUGUGUGUUAGACGUUGGAAAUUUAUUUUCAGUGUCGCAGCGAAAGCAUUAAACACACCGCCUGGGGAGUACGACCGCAAGGUUAAAACUCAAAUGAAUUGACGGGGACCCGCACAAGUAGUGGAGCAUGUGGUUUAAUUCGAAGAUACGCGCAGAACCUUACCAACACUUGACAUGUUCGUCGCGACUCUAAGAGAUUAGAGUCUUCGGUUCGGCCGGACGAAACACAGGUGCUGCAUGGCUGUCGUCAGCUCGUGUCGUGAGAUGUUGGGUUAAGUCCCGCAACGAGCGCAACCCUCACUUUUAGUUGCCAUCAUUUAGUUGGGCACUCUGAAAGAACUGCCAGUGAUAAGCUGGAGGAAGGUGGGGAUGACGUCAAGUCCUCAUGGCCCUUACGUGUUGGGCUACACACGUGCUACAAUGGCAUUUACAAUAGGAAGCAAGGUGGCGACAUCAAGCAAAUCCUAAAAAGAUGUCUCAGUUCGGAUUGUACUCUGCAACUCGAGUACAUGAAGCUGGAAUUACUAGUAAUCGCGGAUCAGCGCGCCGCGGUGAAUACGUUCCCGGGUCUUGUACACACCGCCCGUCACACCAUGGGAGUUGGUUCUACCUUAAGGCAAGGUUUAAAAUCCUUGACUACGGUAUAGUCAGCGACUGGGGUGAAGUCGUAACAAGGUAACC